AUUGAACGCUGGCGGCAUGCCUUACACAUGCAAGUCGAACGGCAGCACGGGAGCAAUCCUGGUGGCGAGUGGCGAACGGGUGAGUAAAGUAUCGGAACGUGCCCAGUCGUGGGGGAUAACGUAGCGAAAGUUACGCUAAUACCGCAUACGAUCUAUGGAUGAAAGCGGGGGAUCGCAAGACCUCGCGCGAUUGGAGCGGCCGAUAUCAGAUUAGGUAGUUGGUGGGGUAAAGGCUCACCAAGCCGACGAUCUGUAGCUGGUCUGAGAGGACGACCAGCCACACUGGGACUGAGACACUGCCCAGACUCCUACGGGAGGCAGCAGUGGGGAAUUUUGGACAAUGGGCGAAAGCCUGAUCCAGCCAUGCCGCGUGCAGGAUGAAAGCCCUCGGGUUGUAAACUGCUUUUGUACAGAACGAAAAGGUUUCUACUAAUACUAGGAGCUCAUGACGGUACUGUAAGAAUAAGCACUGGCUAACUACGUGCCAGCCGCCGCAGUAA
rnacentral:rRNA from 1 species